rnacentral:rRNA from 1 species
CAGUCGCCGCGGGAAUACGAAGGGGGCUAGCGUUGCUCGGAAUCACUGGGCGUAAAGGGUGCGUAGGCGGGUCUUUAAGCCAGGGGUGAAAUCCUGGAGCUCAACUCCAGAACUGCCUUUGAUACUGAAGAUCUUGAGUUCGGGAGAGGUGAGUGGAACUGCGAGUGUAGAGGUGAAAUUCGUAGAUAUUCGCAAGAACACCAGUGGCGAAGGCGGCUCACUGGCCCGAUACUGACGCUGAGGCACGAAAGCGUGGGGAGCAAACAGGAUUAGAUACCCCUGUAGUCCCUGUCUCUUAUAC